GACGAACGCUGGCGGCGUGCUUAACACAUGCAAGUCGUACGGUAAGGCCCUUUCGGGGGUACACGAGUGGCGAACGGGUGAGUAACACGUGAGUAACCUGCCCACAACUUUGGGAUAACGCUAGGAAACUGGUGCUAAUACUGGAUAUGUGCUCCUGCUGCAUGGUGGGGGUUGGAAAGCUCCGGCGGUUGUGGAUGGACUCGCGGCCUAUCAGCUUGUUGGUGGGGUAGUGGCCUACCAAGGCGGCGACGGGUAGCCGGCCUGAGAGGGUGACCGGCCGCAUUGGGACUGAGAUACGGCCCAGACUCCUACGGGAGGCAGCAGUGGGGAAUAUUGCACAAUGGGCGCAAGCCUGAUGCAGCAACGCCGCGUGCGGGAUGACGGCCUUCGGGUUGUAAACCGCUUUCAGCAGGGACGAAGCUUUUUGUGACGGUACCUGCAGAAGAAGCACCGGCUAACUACGUG
rnacentral:rRNA from 1 species